AUUGAACGCUGGCGGCAGGCCUAACACAUGCAAGUCGAAUGGUAACAGGAAACAGCUUGCUGUUUCGCUGACGAGUGGCGGACGGGUGAGUAAUGUCUGGGAAACUGCCUGAUGGAGGGGGAUAACUACUGGAAACGGUAGCUAAUACCGCAUAACGUCGCAAGACCAAAGAGGGGGACCUUCGGGCCUCUUGCCAUCAGAUGUGCCCAGAUGGGAUUAGCUAGUAGGUGGGGUAACGGCUCACCUAUGCGACGAUCCCUAGCUGGUCUGAGAGGAUGACCAGCCACACUGGAACUGAGCCACGGUCCAGACUCCUACGGGAGGCAGCAGUGGGGAAUAUUGCACCAUGGGCGCAAGCCUGAUGCAGCCAUGCCGCGUGGAUGAAGAAGCCCUUCGGGCUGUAAACUACUUUCAGCUGGGAGUACGCUAGUCAUGGUAAUACCCAGUCUCCUUCACGUCCCCCUCAGAAGCACGUCCCCCUCACCACCUG
rnacentral:rRNA from 1 species